GAUGAACGCUAGCGGCAGGCUUAAUACAUGCAAGUCGAGGGGUAACAUGGUAGCAAUACUGAUGACGAACCGGCAAACGGGUGCGGAACACGUACAGAACCUUCCUUUAAGCGGGGGGAUAGCCCAUAGAAAUGUGGAUUAAUACCCCAUAGUAAUAUUAGUUGGCAUCAAUUGAUAUUUAAAGAUUUAUCACUUAAAGAUGGCUGUGCGGCUGAUUAGGUAGUUGGUGCGGGUAACGGCCCACCAAGCCAGCGAUCAGUAACUGGUGUGGGAGCACGACCAGUCACAC
rnacentral:rRNA from 1 species